rnacentral:piRNA from 1 species
UUCGUAUGAGUGCUUAACUUA